rnacentral:rRNA from 1 species
ACAUGCAAGUCGAACGGUAACAGGUCUUCGGAUGCUGACGAGUGGCGAACGGGUGAGUAAUACAUCGGAACGUGCCCGAUCGUGGGGGAUAACGAGGCGAAAGCUUUGCUAAUACCGCAUACGAUCUACGGAUGAAAGCGGGGGAUCUUCGGACCUCGCGCGGACGGAGCGGCCGAUGGCAGAUUAGGUAGUUGGUGGGAUAAAAGCUUACCAAGCCGACGAUCUGUAGCUGGUCUGAGAGGAUGAUCAGCCACACUGGGACUGAGACACGGCCCAGACUCCUACGGGAGGCAGCAGUGGGGAAUUUUGGACAAUGGGCGAAAGCCUGAUCCAGCCAUGCCGCGUGCAGGAUGAAGGCCUUCGGGUUGUAAACUGCUUUUGUACGGAACGAAAAGCCUCUUUCUAAUAAAGAGGGGUCAUGACGGUACCGUAAGAAUAAGCACCGGCUAACUACGUGCCAGCAGCCGCGGUAAUACGUAGGGUGCAAGCGUUAA